AGCAGCCGCCACGGUAAUACGUAGGGUGCAAGCGUUAAUCGGAAUUACUGGGCGUAAAGCGUGCGCAGGCGGUUAUAUAAGACAGAUGUGAAAUCCCCGGGCUCAACCUGGGAACUGCAUUUGUGACUGUAUAGCUAGAGUACGGCAGAGGGGGAUGGAAUUCCGCGUGUAGCAGUGAAAUGCGUAGAUAUGCGGAGGAACACCGAUGGCGAAGGCAAUCCCCUGGGCCUGUACUGACGCUCAUGCACGAAAGCGUGGGGAGCAAACAGGAUUAGAUACCCGUGUAGUCCCUGUCUCUUAUAA
rnacentral:rRNA from 1 species